GGANUCACUGGGCGUAAAGGACGCGUAGGCGGAUUAUCAAGUCUCUUGUGAAAUCUANCGGCUCAACCGUUAAACUGCUUGGGAAACUGNUAAUCUAGAGUAAGGGAGAGGCAGAUGGAAUUCUUGGUGUAGGGGUAAANUCCGUAGAUAUCAAGAAGAAUACCUAUUGCGAAGGCGNUCUGCUGGAACUUAACUGACGCUAAUGCGUGAAAGCGUGGGGAGCAAACAGGAUUAGAUACCCUGGUAGUCCACGCCCUAAACGAUGUAUACCGGUUGUUGCUGUGCUAGUCACGGCAGUAAUCCACCUAACGGAUUAAGUAUACCGCCUGGGGAGUACGGUCGCAAGAUUAAAACUCAAAGGAAUAGACGGGGACCCGCGCAAGCGGUGGAGCAUGUGGUUUAAUUCGAAGAUACGCGAAGAACCUUACCCGGACUUGAUAUCUAACAAAUCAUCCAGAGAUGGAAGAGUGUCUGCUUGCAGAAAUGUUAAGACAGGUGCUGCACGGCUGUCGUCAGCUCGUGUCGUGAGAUGUUGGGUUAAGUCCCGCAACGAGCGCAACCCACGUCAUUAGUUGCUAACGGUUCGGCCGAGCACUCUAAUGAGACUGCCUUCGUAAGGAGGAGGAAGGUGUGGACGACGUCAAGUCAUCAUGGCCCUUAUGUCCGGGGCGACACACGUGCUACAAUGGCAUAUACAAUAAGACGCAAUAUCGCGAGAUGGAGCAAAUCUAAAAAAUAUGUCCCAGUUCGGAUUGGAGUCUGCAACUCGACUCCAUGAAGCCGGAAUCGCUAGUAAUCGUAGAUCAGCCAUGCUACGGUGAAUACGUUCCCGGGUCUUGUACUCACCGCCCGUCACACCAUGGGAGUUGAUUUCACUCGAAGCGGGAAUGCGAAAUUCGCUA
rnacentral:rRNA from 1 species